UGUGUCUGUGUGUUUAAUGGUGUUAUCCAGAAAGAGUUGAUAUGACCAAUGGUUGGUGACUUGGCAUAUCGAGUCAACCCGGAGUGUUCAGCCCUUGACAGAUAUAUUGAUAUCUGUAACGUGUUCUUCUAAAUACCAUCUAGCAUAUGAUGCAAAUCCAUCUAUGAUCAUGUUUAUUAAAGUUAAGCUCCUAUCCACCAAUACUGCAUAUUACUUGUUACCAGACCAACUGCAUUAUCCAUAUCAUGGGCUGUUUGCGAGUACAUUCAAAGUACUCAUUGGCUUGCCACUGGUUAUUUUAUUGACCGGGUAUUAGAGAUCCGGAUAUGGUGAAGAGUAACUCGGUGACGUUCUUGCGAUCUAGGACGCUUCCCAGUAAAAAAUACCUGUAGAUUAAGGCUGAUGGCACGGGUUCAUGCUUUCGGCCCAUAUUUCCGCUAUUGGUCCAGUUUGGUGUGU
rnacentral:lncRNA from 1 species